CGAGAUGAGAUUUCCCAACUUCGGUUAUAAGAUCCCUCAAAGAUGAUGAGGUGAAUAGGUUCGAGGUGGAAGCGUAGCGAUACGUGGAGCUGACGAAUACUAAUCGAUCGAAGACUUAAUCAA
rnacentral:rRNA from 1 species